UGUUUUGCGCCGUGGUGUGAUUCACACAGAUGCUAGUAAAAAGGUCUUUCCAUGGCAUCUUUCAAAACAUCAAACCCUAAACACUCAUUCAUCUCCUUUCAUCGUGUAACCUGUCCCACAUUCCUCUCUCUCUCUAUCUCUAGUUUUUUAACCCAAUCUCAAUACCCAAACGAAGAUACCUACGACCCUCCAUUUUCUUUCACCUCCAAAACCCUAAACCCCAAUGACGAAAUCUAGGGAAUAGUCAGAAUGAAGCUUCAUCGAAAUCGAAGAAAGUCUUGGGUUUUCCAUUGAUGAAGAAGAAGUGGCAACGAUUGUUCUCGCCCGAUUAAUUUGGGCUCUCUCUCUCUCUCUCUCUCUCAGGGAUGCAAUCGAUACAAAUUGAAGAUUAUAGACCAAAAUGAAAUCAAUGAUAAAAGAUAUGCUUAUAACACUCUCAAGUUCUUUGAAAACAAUUCAAACCGCCUGCCAAAGUGGUGCAAUGGCGCGGACACCGUGAAGCUCCCUUUCUGCCAAAUUUGAGGGAAGUAUCGGAUCGAACUACAAGGAUACAAUACAAUGGAUCCAUACCUGCAUAUGAAUGAAAGGUGCCCAUCUCUUCCCCCAAAAUACUCCAGGCCUAAGAGUUGCUAAAACAUCUUCUGAUUUGGUUGUCCUGUUUUGGAGUUUUUAUGCCACUGCUUUGUAUAAUACUAGGUUUUUGUAUUAUUGAUUUUUCUGUAUAUCUUUUCUGAUGUGAAGGUUUGAAAGAUUCCAACAUGAUCAGUCGAUGUAGGUUAAUGUUGUCUGUAAAUUUGCUACCACGAUACACAUGGGGAGUAAUGUUAAUUUCAUUGCUGUUUAUAGCACAAUUUGGAAAUUUCAUUGUUCUUGAGGCUUUUGGAGUCCAUGUCAUAUGUUGAAGUCACAGCCACAUCCGAAAUCAAGGUUUCUAUUGCCUUAACACUAUACUAUUGUUCUUUUUGUUGUGCAGAAUAAAAUUGAUAAAUAAGAGGAGAGAAAAGAAAGCUAUUGAAAUUC